UACAGAGGUCCCGAGCGUUGUUCGGAUUCACUGGGCGUGAAGGGUGCGUAGGUGGUGGGGUAAGUCUCGUGUGAAAGCUCGCAGCUUAACUGCGAAAAGUCACGGGAUACUAUUCCGCUGGAGGCUUGGAGGGGGGACUGGAAUACUUGGUGUAGCAGUGAAAUGCGUAGAUAUCAAGUGGAACACCAGUGGCGAAGGCGAGUCCCUGGACAAGACCUGACACUGAGGCACGAAAGCCAGGGGAGCAAACAGG
rnacentral:rRNA from 1 species